UACGGAGAGUUUGAUCCUGGCUCAGGACGAACGCUGGCGGCGUGCUUAACACAUGCAAGUCGAACGGUGACCUCGGAGCUUGCUCCGGGCGAUCAGUGGCGAACGGGUGAGUAACACGUGAGUAACCUGCCCCAGACUCUGGGAUAACAUCGGGAAACCGGUGCUAAUACCGGAUAUGAGACGAGACCGCAUGGUCAUCGUCUGGAAAGAUUUAUCGGUCUGGGAUGGACUCGCGGCCUAUCAGCUAGUUGGUGAGGUAAUGGCCCACCAAGGCGACGACGGGUAGCCGGCCUGAGAGGGCGACCGGCCACACUGGAACUGAGACACGGUCCAGACUCCUACGGGAGGCAGCAGUGGGGAAUAU
rnacentral:rRNA from 1 species